AGAGGUGCCAAGCGUUAGGCGGAAUCACUGGGCUUAAAGCGCGCGUAGGCGGAUGUUUAAGUGUCUUGUGAAAUCCCACGGCUCAACCGUGGAACUGCUGGGCAUACUGGACAUCUCGAGGCACUCAGGGGCGAGCGGAACAAGUGGUGGAGCGGUGAAAUGCGUAGAUAUCACUUGGAACGCCAAUGGUGAAGACAGCUCGCUGGGGGUGUCCUGACGCUGAGGCGCGAAAGCCAGGGGAGCGAACGGGAUUAGAUACCCCGGUAGUCCUGGCCCUAAACGAUGUCCACUAGAUCAUGGCGGCUCUGACGCCGUCAUGGUCGGAGCAAAAGUGUUAAGUGGACCGCCUGGGAAGUACGGUCGCAAGGCUA
rnacentral:rRNA from 1 species